GGAGGGUGCAAACGUUGCUCGGAUUUACUGGGCGUAAAGCGCAUGCAGGCGGGUCUGCAAAGUUUCGUGUGAAAGCCCUGGGGCUCAACCCAGGAAGUGCACGGAAAACUCGCAGACUAGAGUACUGGAGAAGUGGGCGGAAUUCCCGGUGUAGAGGUGAAAUUCGUAGAUAUCGGGAGGAACACCAGCAGCGAAGGCGGCUCACUUGACAGAUACUGACGCUCAGAUGCGAAAGCGUGGGGAGCAAACAGGAUUAGAUACCCUGGUAGUCCACGCCGUAAACGAUGGGCACUAGGUGUCGGGGGCUUGACCCCUUCGGCGCCGCCGCUAACGCAUUAAGUGCCCCGCCUGGGGACUACGGUCGCAAGACUA
rnacentral:rRNA from 1 species